GUGUUUGUGGCGGAAUAGGUAGACGCAACGGUUUUAGGAGCCGUCGACUUUUGUUGUAAGAGUUCAAGUCUCUUCAAGCACA
rnacentral:tRNA from 1 species